UGUAGACCCGCCUUGAGCUGGGAGUUGUCUGGUCCCUAAGGCUGCCAUGGGCUCCAGGCUCCUCUGCUGUGUGGCCCUGUGUCUCCUGGGGUCAGGCCCAGUGGGUACAGGAGUCACACAAACUCCAGAACACCUUGUCAGAGCAAGAAGGCAGCCAGUGACCCUGAGAUGUUUCUAUGAAUCUGGACACCGCUCAGUCUACUGGUAUCAACAGACGCAGGGCCAGGGCCCCCAGUUUAUGGUUCAGUAUACAGAUAUGGAAGAGAUGGAGAAAGGAAAACUGCCAGAUCGGUUUUCAGUCCAGCAGUUCAAGAACAACCACAGCUCUGAGCUGACUGUGAGCUCCUUGGAUCUGGAGGACUCAGCCCUGUAUCUCUGUGCCAGCAGCAUAGCACAGCCCUGCACCAGCCACAGCCUGGAGCACAAAAACCUUCCUGCUCAGCUCAGGAAGUGA